CGCCAUUAUUGAUAGGAAGUUAUAAAGUUAUCCGCGCUCAUGUGUUUAGUUUGUCCGCGAGUUCCUCUAGUGUCCUUAGGGAAAGCCAUGGCGUAUCCCAAACCGCGAUCGCGAUUACUACUCCAUUGUCGCUUUCGGCACUACCGGAAAGAUCUGGACUUAACAGAUACUGGCACCACCAGGAAGAUGCAUCGAACCAGUUCCUGCUAGAAAGAUGAUCCGAACUUCACAGAUUUCAGCACCGCCGGAAAGAUCUAGUCAGUUCCUGCUGCAGAAGUGAUCCGAUCAAGGAUCGGACUCCGGCUCCGGUGCAACAUCAUGCAACGAUGAACGAACCGUAGGAGUCUCCGUGCAAUAAGCCUGGUGCUAAUUAUCUCCGACUAAUAUAGUUCAGAGUAAGAUUUACAUGUAUUUUAGAUAAGGAUAAAGUUAAUAAAUUUAUUAUGUGAACUGUUUUACUCUACUAAACUUAUUACAUUUUUCUUAUUCAUCGCAAUUGAAAAAAAAAACAAAAACAAUUUCAAAUAUGCCUUGACAAAUAUAUUUGAUAUAUGCAUUCCAAUGCAAAACUCCAAUGUAUGAAUUGAAUGAAUAACCACCAAAAUAUGCAUUCGAAAGGGUGGGCAGAUCGAAUAUGCUUUUAGUAAAGAUUUUAUGCAUUUUAGCAUUUUCCAAUCUCUCCGUGUACCCGGAUUUUUAUGUUGUUAGCAGUUGUCAAAAUCCGGGUUACCCGAAAACCCAGAUUUCUUGAAUCUGGGUAAUCGGCACUUUGUCAUUUUCCGGCUUGAGAAUAUGGCAGCGGUUAGGAGAACGCUGGAAAUUAAGGAUGUUUCCGCGAAAAAUAUGCUAAUAAACCUGAUAAAAAAGUCCAAUAAAAUCACCAUAAACAACCAUUGAAUAAUGAUAAAUUUGUCUGUUCAACAAUAAAUUAUAUUGUGUACGUAUUUUUUAUUUAUUUAUAUAUUAUAAUUCAUCUGACAAUAUUGUCUUAAUGAAUAAUGUUACGUACUAGCUACAAUGAAUUUAAUCUUCUAAUUUUACUGACAAAUUUACUUGUGGACACACCGAAUUCAAACGAGGACUCUACAGAACUAAACAUACGAAUCAUUGCACAGAUGGGUUGAUUGUAGCCGUAAUUCGAUCGAAUUGCAUCAAGCGACGCUGCCUUAACAUCCUACUUGGUGCUCGGAAGUCUAUCAAAGAUAGGAGAUGAGGGCAAUCAAUAUCUCCGUUGAGAAGCUGGACGAUGAAUUUGGCCUGCUGUAUCUUGCGCCUUCUGUCAAGACUUUCAAUUCCGAGCAACCGACACCUAUCAGGGUAUGGUGGCAAGUUCGCUGGGUCGCGCCAAAGUAAAUUUCUGAGAGCAAGCCGUAUAAAACGUUUUUGAACCCGCUCGAUUCUCAGAUUCCAAGUUACAUCGUUUGGUGCCCACACAACCGAAGCGUUCUCCAAGAUCGGUCGUACGAGAGAACAAUAAAGCGCUUUUAGGCAGUAUGGGUCGGUGAAAUCCUUGGCUAUUCUAGAGACAAACCCAAGCUGGCGAUUAGCUUUGGAGAUGAUCGACGAGUAGUGGGCGUUGAAGGACAGUUUUGCAUCCCCAACUAACAAUUGCAAGCCGCAAACCAGCAUGCAUGCUGAAUUGUUGCUUUAUAAUAGUAAUGAUAGCUGAACUAAAAUUAUGCUGUACACAUUACUGUACAAAUGUUUUUUUCAAGUGAAAAAGUAGCCAAUGUUCAACCUUUCGUAUCGGUAUCAACAAUUAUAAAUUUAAACACAUUUCAAGCGUUUAAUAAUAUUUUUAUUCGACUUGCAGUUAUUUCUUUACAAAAUAGUUUAACAAGACCUUUUUCUGCUUCUUGUCAAGUACAUGCAAAAAUUAGAACAUGUAUCUGUACAAUGUGUUUUUAACAAGUCAAAUAAGCGCUUUCGUUUCAUCAUACUUCGACUCAGUGUACAGGAUGAAAAACACGUGUUUUUUUUACUGAACAGCAGAUGAAUUAAUGUGGUCUUCAGUUGUUAACCAUAAACAGAACAUUAUUCACCACUGCUGAAUAGGAGUCAAAGUGUAAUCAUUAUACAACCACGGGAAGUUUAUGUUUUGAUUUGAGUGCGUCAACUCAUCAUCUCUAGGAUGGCGCAGAUAGGAAGGCAAGCGGCUGGCAAUCGAUGGGUCUCGAGUUCGAAUCUUGAUUUAGGUAAAUGUAUUUGUAGUUAUUAUUUCACAAUAGUUGUUCACAGCAUAAAGUGUCAAUCAUAAACUCUCGUAGAAAUUGAAAAAUUUUGCAUUUUAUUUUUUAAAUUCAUUCUUGCAGUAGCUGAAUAACAGCUUUACUUUGGCUUUACUACCAGUUUGUAAAAUGUUUUAAACAACAAACAGUUCAGUUGGUACACAACACUAUGCUUUAUUGUUUCUCCAAAUUUGUGUGAACUAAAACCGAACAAAGGUUGUGCCUGAAAAUUAUCCAAAUGUUAUUCAGCACCAUGCUGAAUUAAUUCGUCGUAAAGUGCUUGUAAAAAGAGUAAUUGUUAGUUGGGUCCAGUAUAACGCCCAGAUCUGUCACUUGGUCCACUCUGUUGAGGACAGAAUUGUCGAUGCGAUAGUCGAAAAUAAUUGGUUCUUUUGAGCGAUGAAAGGUCAUCACAUGACAUUUGGGAAUGCUGAUGACAAGUUUGUUCUUGCGACACCAAUUGACGAAAGUGUCCAGCAACGCUUGCAACUGAAGACAGUCCUCAAAGCAGCGCACGACGACAUAGAUUUUCAAAUCGUCAGCGUAAAUAAGUUUGCACCUGUAGCCAAGUGACGAAGCCACGUCAUUGAAGAAAAUGACGAACAGUAUCGGCCCCAGAUUGCUUCCUUGCGGUACGCCGGACGUGCUGAUGAAAGGAAGCGAAACACUAGAUCCAAGCUUUACGCGUAAUGACCUAUUAGUCAAAUAGGAAGAGAUCCCUGACACAAGACGAUUCGAAGCUCCUAGUCGUGACAGCUUGCAGAGCAACACCUUAUGAUCAAUUUUGUCGAACGCUGCUUUUAAGUCUGUGUAUUGUCUAUCCGGUUGGAAUCAAGACAGCCAUUCAAUCAAAAAUUGCCAUUUUCUUGGUUCGCAAGUGUCGCAACUGUUUCGCAUCUAGUGCGCUGAGUUGCUGACAACAACGGGAUAGAUGCGCACUACUUUUGACAUGAUUCAAAAACGUCGCGAGUUGGGUCGCGUCGCGACUUGAUUGUGCGAAGUCCGGUUUGGUGGCGGCCCGACAAUAUAUCACAUCCACUUGCGCACUUUCUUCGAAGGACGUCAAACAAGUAGUUGUUAGGUCCAACAAGUUGGUAGCAACAGACCUACCGGGAAUGAACCCGUGUUGAUCGUUUGAUAAAUGGGCUUUCGUUGCACGUAGAAUUUGAUCACUCACGAUGAUCUCAAAGAGCUUGGAGACAGCUGAAAGGCUCGUAAUCCCACGGUAGUUUUGAACAUGCCGGCGGUCACCACACUUGUAUACAGGGAACAUGUAGGAUAAUUUCCAACUCAACGGAAACUCUCCUUGCUCGAACGAACGAUUGAAGAUAAAGGACAGUGGCUCAGCUAUGGCACUUGCACAGCGACGGAGUACAACAGCAGGAAUACCGUCUGGCCCAGGAGCGAAUGAAUUCUUCAGCUUUUUAGAUGCACUAAUAACCAUUUCGGGCGUAACUGUGAAUGCAUCCAAGUCAAUUACAUCUUGAUCUUGCGGAAUGUUCGAAGCGGCCAGGGUAGCAUCGAUAUCAGAUGAGGGUACUGACUGAAAAACGGAGGCAAAAUGCCUCGCGAAAAAGUUGCAUGCUUCAAUCUCACUUGAUGACUCUAUAUUUUCGUACACUACAUUGUGGGGAAUUGACGAUUUUUUUUCUUGCUGUUGACAAAGCCCCAAAAAGAUUUCGGGUUCCGCCGUAAUCCAAACUGUACCCUUAGGACGUGGGACUUGUAUAGUGCAGCAUUCAGAUUCCUGUAUUCGUCGCUUGCUCGCUUGAAGCUGGAUUUAUUGUAACACGACUGAUGGGUGCGCAGCCUACGUUGCCAUUGGUUUCGUUGUCGUUUCAGAUGGCGAAGAAGAGGUGUACUCUAAGCGGGUGAAACAGGUUUACGCUUGACCGGAACAUGCUCGUUCAACCAUUCGCGAAAGAUGUUGCAAAAAUUCGACGCUAUGUCAUGGACAUCUAAACGUCCGUAGAUACAACUCCAGUCUAAUCCAGAAAGGUAAUCACAGAGCGCACUGAAAUCGGUUUUGCGGUAAUUUAGUCCACGUUCAUGUUCAAUCGCCGUCGGAACCGGCAUGGGACAUUCAGUCGGGAUGUUGAUGCGAACGCUGAGUGGAGGGUGGUGAUCAUCGACGGGCACCAGAGAUUCGUCGGCUACGGAAACAUCCGCACAACUGCUCUCAGUAACAAAAACCAAAUCGAGGGUGCGCUCUAGGCCAUUCCGUUGCAGAUUCACUUGAUUCAAAUUCAAGAAGGUCAUCCCAUCGAUUAACGCAGUACCCGCUGGAGUGAUGAGGGACGAGAUCGCUGGAUUUAUGUCGUUUUCACCUUGAGCCCAGGCAAUGCCUGGUUGAUUGUAAUCGCCGCACACAAAAAUGAUGUCAUCAUUGGAGGCACUGUCGCAGAGUUCACGAACGGUUGCAACAUGUUCCUCCAUCAAUUCGAUGUUACGACUUUUGUCCGGCGGAAUAUAGAUGUUGCACAACAGAAAUCGACGACCGCCGAUGUUGGCGGAAACACACACCUGCUCGAGCCCUCCUCCGUUGCACGUUGCAAUGCGACAACUACUAUGUCGCUCAGAAACAGCUAUCAACACACCUCCAAGUCCUCUCUUGUCGCUGUUCAUGGAGGAUCUUUCGCAUCGGAAAACGUUGAAUGAGGUACCAUUCCUGCUGAAAAUGCUGUAUUGGAACUACAAUACGUGCACAAUAAAAUCAAUGGUACUAGAGAUUUCACUUAUAAAAACACCAUACAUUGAAUGGUAUUGCGGAGAUUCCACCUGUUUAGACUCCUGCGCGAAAAUUAGUUGCGUGGAUUUUUCUUGCGUGGGCCCACAGAUAUAAAAACAGAUUGCGUCCUGAUGAAUAUUUUACGCUGUGUUGUUAAGUACACAUUUGGUGAUAGUUUUGCAUUGUAAACAAACAUUUAUAAUGUACCUACGCUGAAAAUGAGCCUAAUCAUUUAUUUGCGUUGGAAUCUAUAAAUCUUCGCAACGGGCAAUAGUUGACUUGAAUUUACUCCAGAAUUCUAGGAUUUUUUAUGGUAAAGAUGCAUAACAACCCCCAUUUUCUAUUGUAAAAAUGACAUUUACAAUAUAUGCUAUGGUGGAAAACCAUAUCUCUAUCGUUUUAAACAAUUGAAUUAAUAGUAAAUACCAUUCAUUUCAGCGUGUUGUAACAAUAGAUUCUGUUGUAUCUCUAUGACCUUUUUUAUCAGGGAAAUGACGGGAAAACAGAAAAAUUCUUCCGGGGAACUGUUUUCCUGCAUCAGGUAAGUGAACAGAACAUGGAUAUUAGGAGCUCUUUAUCAAAAAUGUAAAUUGGAAAUAAAAUAACAAAAUCAAGGCCCUGGAGGAGCUGGGUACCGGUUACCCAGAUUUGGCCACCAACAUCGAUAACCCAGAUUUGAGUAAAGGUGCCUUUACUCAAAUUAGAGUAACUGCAGUUUUGCUCAAUCUGGGUCGCUUUGACACCAACAUGGGUAAUACUUAUGACACACAUGUGAUACAAGAAUCACUGUACAAUUGCGCUUGAAAUGAGUGCCAUACUGAAAAUUCUCUCAGUUCAAGUCAGUCUUGUUAGAAUUUUCAUGACACUGCGUACCGUUGUACAGGAAUCAUACUCGUAUCACAUGUCUGUCUGGGGUAUUAGCGUGAUAGGAACAUUUUUGAAAUCCCAGUGUGUAUUGUAACAGUACUAUUUAAAACCAUAUUUUUACAAUAGACACCACUGUAAAAAUAAAAAUACAAAAACAAUAAAAUGUAAUGUAGAACCCAAUACAGUAUAUUGUAAAUAAGAUUUUUACAAUAUACUAUACGGGUGGUUAAGUAUCGUAACAAUAUAAAAAAAUAUUUUUCUCCAUAUAUAUUUUUUUGCAAAACCAUACAUUAUAUUGUAAAUGAAUUGUUAUAAAUACUGAUACGUGGGUUUUAAUAAACCGUACAUUGUAUGGUACACAUAUGGUUUCAAACAAUAAAAUGUACCGUAAAUAUA